GUGUCAGCAGCCGCGGUAAUACGAAGGGGGCUAGCGUUGUUCGGAUUUACUGGGCGUAAAGCGCGUGUAGGCGGGUCGUUAAGUUGGGGGUGAAAUCCCGAGGCUCAACCUCGGAACUGCCUUCAAAACUGGCGACCUGGAGCAAGAUAGAGGCAAGUGGAAUUGCGAGUGUAGAGGUGAAAUUCGUAGAUAUUCGCAGGAACACCAGUGGCGAAGGCGACUUGCUGGAUCUUUGCUGACGCUGAGACGCGAAAGCGUGGGGAGCAAACAGGAUUAGAAACCCUCGUAGUCC
rnacentral:rRNA from 1 species